AAAGUCGUAACAAGGUAACCGUAGGUGAACCUGCGGUUGGAUCAUUAACAAGAUUAUGAUCUGGAGCAAUUUGAGUUUCUGGAGUGAUUGGAUUCGGUUCCUCCUCUGUGCUCACAUUGAUCCAAAAACCCAACAUCUUUGUGAACUGUCUUAUCUUUUGUUUGGGCAAUGGAUCGGAGCCCUGGUUCCUGCCACUGUCCAGACAAUACCAACAUAAACACUAUUUGUCAUAACAAUGGAUGUAUUUGAUACUAUCCAUACACAAUUUCUUGAAAAGAAACAACUUUUGGCAACGGAUCUCUUGGCUCUC
rnacentral:misc_RNA from 1 species